UGGCGGCAGGCCUAACACAUGCAAGUCGAGCGGUAGAGAGAAGCUUGCUUCUCUUGAGAGCGGCGGACGGGUGAGUAAUGCCUAGGAAUCUGCCUGGUAGUGGGGGAUAACGCUCGGAAACGGACGCUAAUACCGCAUACGUCCUACGGGAGAAAGCAGGGGACCUUCGGGCCUUGCGCUAUCAGAUGAGCCUAGGUCGGAUUAGCUAGUUGGUGAGGUAAUGGCUCACCAAGGCGACGAUCCGUAACUGGUCUGAGAGGAUGAUCAGUCACACUGGAACUGAGACACGGUCCAGACUCCUACGGGAGGCAGCAGUGGGGAAUAUUGGACAAUGGGCGAAAGCCUGAUCCAGCCAUGCCGCGUGUGUGAAGAAGGUCUUCGGAUUGUAAAGCACUUUAAGUUGGGAGGAAGGGCAGUAAAUUAAUACUUUGCUGUUUUGACGUUACCGACAGAAUAAGCACCGGCUAACUCUGUGCCAGCAGCCGCGGUAAUACAGAGGGUGCAAGCGUUAAUCGGAAUUACUGGGCGUAAAGCGCGCGUAGGUGGUUUGUUAAGUUGGAUGUGAAAUCCCCGGGCUCAACCUGGGAACUGCAUUCAAAACUGACAAGCUAGAGUAUGGAGAGGGUGGUGGAAUUUC
rnacentral:rRNA from 1 species